rnacentral:rRNA from 1 species
UACGUAGGGGGCGAGCGUUAAUCGGAAUUACUGGGCGUAAAGCGUGCGCAGGCGGUUCGUUAAGUUCGAUGUGAAAGCCCCGGGCUUAACCUGGGAAUGGCAUUGGAAACUGGCGAGCUUGAGUGCGGCAGAGGGGGGUGGAAUUCCGCGUGUAGCAGUGAAAUGCGUAGAGAUGCGGAGGAACACCGAUGGCGAAGGCAGCCCCCUGGGUCGACACUGGCGCUCAGGCACGAAAGCGUGGGGAGCAAACAGG